GAUGAACGCUGGCGGCGUGCCUAAUACAUGCAAGUCGAGCGAACAGACGAGGAGCUUGCUCCUCUGACGUUAUCGGCGGACGGGAGCUUAACACGUGGAUAACCUACCUAUAAGCAUGGGAUAAAUUCGGGCAACCGGAGCUAAUACCGGAUAAUAUAUUGCACCGCAUGGUUCAAUAGUGAAAGACGGUUUUGCUGUCGCUUAUGGAUGGGUCCGCGCCGCAUUAGCUAGUUGGUAGGGUAACGGCAUACCAAGGCGACGAUGCAUAGCCGGCCUGAGAGGCUGAUCAGACACACUGGGACUGAGACACGGCACAGACUCCUACGGGAGGGAGCAGUGGGGAAUAUUGGAAAAUGGGCGAAAGCAUGAUCCAGCAAUGACGCGUGAGUGAUGAAGGCAUUAGGGUUGUAAAGCUCUUUUAACCGGGAUGAUAAUGACAGUACCGGGAGAAUAAGCCCCGGCUAACUCCGUG
rnacentral:rRNA from 1 species